rnacentral:rRNA from 1 species
AGUGAACGCUGGCGGUAGGCCUAACACAUGCAAGUCGAACGGCAGCACAGUAAGAGCUUGCUCUUACGGGUGGCGAGUGGCGGACGGGUGAGGAAUACAUCGGAAUCUACUUUUUCGUGGGGGAUAACGUAGGGAAACUUACGCUAAUACCGCAUACGACCUACGGGUGAAAGCAGGGGAUCUUCGGACCUUGCGCGAUUGAAUGAGCCGAUGUCGGAUUAGCUAGUUGGCGGGGUAAAGGCCCACCAAGGCGACGAUCCGUAGCUGGUCUGAGAGGAUGAUCAGCCACACUGGAACUGAGACACGGUCCAGACUCCUACGGGAGGCAGCAGUGGGGAAUAUUGGACAAUGGGCGCAACCCUGAUCCAGCCAUACCGCGUGGUGAAGAAGGCCUUCGGGUUGUAAAGCCCUUUUGUUGGGAAAGAAAAGCAGCAGGUUAAUACCCCGCUGUUCUGACGGUACCCAAAGAAUAAGCACCGGCUAACUUCGUG